GCAUCUUCUUGGGUUAAAAACUCCGGCGGUUAAAGAUGGGCAUGCGUUGUAUUAGCUAGUUGGUGAGGUAACGGCUCACCAAGGCAACGAUACAUAGGGGGACUGAGAGGUUAACCCCCCACAUUGGUACUGAGACACGGACCAAACUCCUACGGGAGGCAGCAGUGAGGAAUAUUGGUCAAUGGACGCAAGUCUGAACCAGCCAUGCCGCGUGCAGGAAGACGGCUCUAUGAGUUGUAAACUGCUUUUGUACUAGGGUAAACGCUUCUACGUGUAGGAGCCUGAAAGUAUAGUACGAAUAAGGAUCGGCUAACUCCGUGCCAGCAGCCGCGGUAAUACGGAGGAUCCAAGCGUUAUCCGGAUUUAUUGGGUUUAAAGGGUGCGUAGGCGGUUUGAUAAGUUAGAGGUGAAAUACCGGGGCUCAACUCCGGAACUGCCUCUAAUACUGUUGAACUAGAGAGUAGUUGCGGUAGGCGGAAUGUAUGGUGUAGCGGUGAAAUGCUUAGAGAUCAUACAGAACACCGAUUGCGAAGGCAGCUUACCAAACUAUAUCUGACGUUGAGGCACGAAAGCGUGGGGAGCAAACAGGAUUAGAUACCCUGGUAGUCCACGCAGUAAACGAUGAUAACUCGUUGUCGGCGAUACACAGUCGGUGACU
rnacentral:rRNA from 1 species